GAUGCUGGCAUCAGUAAGUGUAAAUGUUUCUUACAAGAAGGUUAAGAAGAAGAAAAUAAAAUGAAGUUGGUUAUUUUGUGUGCACUUUUGGCCGUAAUGGUUGUCUUGCCACAAUCAGCCUACAGUGAUGAUGAAAGUGAAGCGAUUGGUAUCACCGACCCUGCGUUUCAUAAGGAUCAGAAGAAUAGGAAAAACAAUGCAAGAAAACGUUACCGUGUGCGUUUAGAUUCUCUAGCUCGUUCUUAUCCUCGUUUUCGUGCUAAGUUCAAUCCUCGUAUGGAAACGUAGGUAUCGUGGAGGCGCUGGGGUUAGCUGGAUGCUAAUUCCUUAUUCAAGAAGUGACAGUAACAAUGUAGCUAUGUAUGUCGUCGUUGACAAUUCUUUUUUACUGUAAUAGCGUAAGUCUGUAGAAAAUAAAACAAAAUUCUGUUUUCGUCACUGAAAUUUUUUUCCACUGAUACAAAUUUAGUCAAUUCAUGUGUUAAGCAACAUUGUUACCAGAGUCUUGUUGACAGGGGGGCUUAUAGUUUCCUAGGAUUGUUUUUCCCAAGGUUGUAUUUCCUGGGGUUGUUUUUCUCAGGGUUGUUUCUCCUAGGGUAAACACGGUAACAUCUUCAACUUACGUUGGUAUUCACGAGAAUCGUACGGAAUAGAAAUUUACAGUAAAGUUAAAAAAAAAUUUUCUAUGUACAUUGGCAGUCCAAGUGACGUCAACCAGUCCACCACUGAACUAAGUUUUCCCACAACAUCUGGAGCGAAGCGAAGACUGGAAAUAUCACAUGGAACCUUACAGAAAAAAUAAAAAAACCGUUUCAUUUGGCAUGUCUACUUCUUGUGCGACGAUUAUUCUACUUUCUGGGCUAUUACAAAAACAAAAAACCUUCAAUGCGGGCAAAAAUUUACAUGUCUCGAUUAUAAAUAAAAUGCAAAUGACGAUGUCGCAGCUUUUUUAGAAAGUUUCAAAUUUCAGUGAAAUUUUUAAUUGCGUUAGUUUUCAUUCGAGCAAAAAAAUCUCAACGUUUCAGAAAGACAAAGUUUCACAAAGACAACGUUUCACAAAGGAGCUGCUGACAAAACAACGACACAUGAAAACCUACAAUAAAUAAAUUCUUUCAAUAAUGGAGAAAAAUCAUGCGAACCGAGGCUCAAUUGUACUCAGUCAGAUUUUCACGUCUUAUCUUACGCACGAACAAAGACAUAACAAACAUAUGAUCAUCUAAAUACAUAAUAAUUGAAGUUUUCAUCUUUUACAUCGCCUUAAUGGUUAACAUCAAAACAAACCAUAUCAAUCAAGGACUAAAUACAUAAUAAUUGAAGUUUUCA